rnacentral:rRNA from 1 species
AGACCCGAAACCCGGUGAUCUAGCCAUGGGCAGGUUGAAGGUUGGGUAACACUAACUGGAGGACCGAACCGACUAAUGUUGAAAAAUUAGCGGAUGACCUGUGGCUGGGGGUGAAAGGCCAAUCAAACCGGGAGAUAGCUGGUUCUCCCCGAAAGCUAUUUAGGUAGCGCCUCGUGAAUUCAUCUCCGGGGGUAGAGCACUGUUUCGGCUAGGGGGCCAUCCCGGCUUACCAACCCGAUGCAAACUGCGAAUACCGGAGAAUGUUAUCACGGGAGACACACGGCGGGUGCUAACGUCCGUCGUGAAGAGGGAAACAACCCAGACCGCCAGCUAAGGUCCCAAAGUCAUGGUUAAGUGGGAAACGAUGUGGGAAGGCCCAGACAGCCAGGAUGUUGGCUUAGAAGCAGCCAUCAUUUAAAGAAAGCGUAAUAGCUCACUGGUCGAGUCGGCCUGCGCGGAAGAUGUAACGGGGCUAAACCAUGCACCGAAGCUGCGGCAGCGACGCUGAUGCGUUGUUGGGUAGGGGAGCGUUCUGUAAGCCUGCGAAGGUGGCCUGUGAGGGUUGCUGGAGGUAUCAGAAGUGCGAAUGCUGACAUAAGUAACGAUAAAGCGGGUGAAAAGCCCGCUCGCCGGAAGACCAAGGGUUCCUGUCCAACGUUAAUCGGGGCAGGGUGAGUCGACCCCUAAGGCGAGGCCGAAAGGCGUAGUCGAUGGGAAACGGGUUAAUAUUCCCGUACUUGGUGUUACUGCGAAGGGGGGACGGAGAAGGCUAUGUUGGCCGGGCGACGGUUGUCCCGGUUUAAGCGUGUAGGUGUGUGUUCCAGGUAAAUCCGGUUCACUUUAACACUGAGGCGUGAUGACGAGGCACUACGGUGCUGAAGCAACAAAUGCCCUGCUUCCAGGAAAAGCCUCUAAGCAUCAGGUAACAUCAAAUCGUACCCCAAACCGACACAGGUGGUCAGGUAGAGAAUACCAAGGCGCUUGAGAGAACUCGGGUGAAGGAACUAGGCAAAAUGGUGCCGUAACUUCGGGAGAAGGCACGCUGACACGUAGGUGAAGUGAUUUACUCAUGGAGCUGAAGUCAGUCGAAGAUACCAGCUGGCUGCAACUGUUUAUUAAAAACACAGCACUGUGCAAACACGAAAGUGGACGUAUACGGUGUGACGCCUGCCCGGUGCCGGAAGGUUAAUUGAUGGGGUCAGCGCAAGCGAAGCUCCUGAUCGAAGCCCCGGUAAACGGCGGCCGUAACUAUAACGGUCCUAAGGUAGCGAAAUUCCUUGUCGGGUAAGUUCCGACCUGCACGAAUGGCGUAAUGAUGGCCAGGCUGUCUCCACCCGAGACUCAGUGAAAUUGAACUCGCUGUGAAGAUGCAGUGUACCCGCGGCAAGACGGAAAGACCCCGUGAACCUUUACUAUAGCUUGACACUGAACAUUGAGCCUUGAUGUGUAGGAUAGGUGGGAGGCUUUGAAGUGUGGACGCCAGUCUGCAUGGAGCCGGCCUUGAAAUACCACCCUUUAAUGUUUGAUGUUCUAACGUGGACCCGUGAUCCGGGUUGCGGACAGUGUCUGGUGGGUAGUUUGACUGGGGCGGUCUCCUCCUAAAGAGUAACGGAGGAGCACGAAGGUUGGCUAAUCCUGGUCGGACAUCAGGAGGUUAGUGCAAUGGCAUAAGCCAGCUUGACUGCGAGCGUGACGGCGCGAGCAGGUGCGAAAGCAGGUCAUAGUGAUCCGGUGGUUCUGAAUGGAAGGGCCAUCGCUCAACGGAUAAAAGGUACUCCGGGGAUAACAGGCUGAUACCGCCCAAGAGUUCAUAUCGACGGCGGUGUUUGGCACCUCGAUGUCGGCUCAUCACAUCCUGGGGCUGAAGUAGGUCCCAAGGGUAUGGCUGUUCGCCAUUUAAAGUGGUACGCGAGCUGGGUUUAGAACGUCGUGAGACAGUUCGGUCCCUAUCUGCCGUGGGCGCUGGAGAACUGAGGGGGGCUGCUCCUAGUACGAGAGGACCGGAGUGGACGCAUCACUGGUGUUCGGGUUGUCAUGCCAAUGGCACUGCCCGGUAGCUAAAUGCGGAAGAGAUAAGUGCUGAAAGCAUCUAAGCACGAAACUUGCCCCGAGAUGAGUUCUCCCUGAGACUUAGAGUCUCCUGAAGGAACGUUGAAGACGACGACGUUGAUAGGCCGGGUGUGUAAGCGCAGCGAUGCGUUGAGCUAACCGGUACUAAUGAACCGUGAGGCUUAACCUUACAACGCCG